rnacentral:rRNA from 1 species
GACGAACGUUGGCGGCAUGCCUAACACAUGCAAGUCGAACGAGACCUUCGGGUCUAGUGGCGCACGGGUGCGUAACGCGUGGGAAUCUGCCCUUGGGUUCGGAGUAACUCGCCGAAAGGCGUGCUAAUACCGGAUGAUGUCGUAAGACCAAAGAUUUAUCGCCCAGGGAUGAGCCCGCGUAAGAUUAGGUAGUUGGUGAGGUUAAGGCUCACCAAGCCGACGAUCUUUAGCUGGUCUGAGAGGAUGAUCAGCCACACUGGGACUGAGACACGGCCCAG